rnacentral:rRNA from 1 species
GGUUAAGCGACUAAGCGUACACGGUGGAUGCCCUGGCAGUCAGAGGCGAUGAAGGACGUGCUAAUCUGCGAUAAGCGUCGGUAAGGUGAUAUGAACCGUUAUAACCGGCGAUUUCCGAAUGGGGAAACCCAGUGUGUUUCGACACACUAUCAUUAACUGAAUCCAUAGGUUAAUGAGGCGAACCGGGGGAACUGAAACAUCUAAGUACCCCGAGGAAAAGAAAUCAACCGAGAUUCCCCCAGUAGCGGCGAGCGAACGGGGAGGAGCCCAGAGCCUGAAUCAGUGUGUGUGUUAGUGGAAGCGUCUGGAAAGGCGCGCGAUACAGGGUGACAGCCCCGUACACAAAAAUGCACAUGCUGUGAGCUCGAUGAGUAGGGCGGGACACGUGGUAUCCUGUCUGAAUAUGGGGGGACCAUCCUCCAAGGCUAAAUACUCCUGACUGACCGAUAGUGAACCAGUACCGUGAGGGAAAGGCGAAAAGAACCCCGGCGAGGGGAGUGAAAAAGAACCUGAAACCGUGUACGUACAAGCAGUGGGAGCACGCUUAGGCGUGUGACUGCGUACCUUUUGUAUAAUGGGUCAGCGACUUAUAUUCUGUAGCAAGGUUAACCGAAUAGGGGAGCCGAAGGGAAACCGAGUCUUAACUGGGCGUUAAGUUGCAGGGUAUAGACCCGAAACCCGGUGAUCUAGCCAUGGGCAGGUUGAAGGUUGGGUAACACUAACUGGAGGACCGAACCGACUAAUGUUGAAAAAUUAGCGGAUGACUUGUGGCUGGGGGUGAAAGGCCAAUCAAACCGGGAGAUAGCUGGUUCUCCCCGAAAGCUAUUUAGGUAGCGCCUCGUGAAUUCAUCUCCGGGGGUAGAGCACUGUUUCGGCAAGGGGGUCAUCCCGACUUACCAACCCGAUGCAAACUGCGAAUACCGGAGAAUGUUAUCACGGGAGACACACGGCGGGUGCUAACGUCCGUCGUGAAGAGGGAAACAACCCAGACCGCCAGCUAAGGUCCCAAAGUCAUGGUUAAGUGGGAAACGAUGUGGGAAGGCCCAGACAGCCAGGAUGUUGGCUUAGAAGCAGCCAUCAUUUAAAGAAAGCGUAAUAGCUCACUGGUCGAGUCGGCCUGCGCGGAAGAUGUAACGGGGCUAAACCAUGCACCGAAGCUGCGGCAGCGACGCUGAUGCGUUGUUGGGUAGGGGAGCGUUCUGUAAGCCUGCGAAGGUGUGCUGUGAGGCAUGCUGGAGGUAUCAGAAGUGCGAAUGCUGACAUAAGUAACGAUAAAGCGGGUGAAAAGCCCGCUCGCCGGAAGACCAAGGGUUCCUGUCCAACGUUAAUCGGGGCAGGGUGAGUCGACCCCUAAGGCGAGGCCGAAAGGCGUAGUCGAUGGGAAACAGGUUAAUAUUCCUGUACUUGGUGUUACUGCGAAGGGGGGACGGAGAAGGCUAUGUUGGCCGGGCGACGGUUGUCCCGGUUUAAGCGUGUAGGCUGGUUUUCCAGGCAAAUCCGGAAAAUCAAGGCUGAGGCGUGAUGACGAGGCACUACGGUGCUGAAGCAACAAAUGCCCUGCUUCCAGGAAAAGCCUCUAAGCAUCAGGUAACAUCAAAUCGUACCCCAAACCGACACAGGUGGUCAGGUAGAGAAUACCAAGGCGCUUGAGAGAACUCGGGUGAAGGAACUAGGCAAAAUGGUGCCGUAACUUCGGGAGAAGGCACGCUGAUAUGUAGGUGAAGUCCCUCGCGGAUGGAGCUGAAAUCAGUCGAAGAUACCAGCUGGCUGCAACUGUUUAUUAAAAACACAGCACUGUGCAAACACGAAAGUGGACGUAUACGGUGUGACGCCUGCCCGGUGCCGGAAGGUUAAUUGAUGGGGUUAGCGCAAGCGAAGCUCUUGAUCGAAGCCCCGGUAAACGGCGGCCGUAACUAUAACGGUCCUAAGGUAGCGAAAUUCCUUGUCGGGUAAGUUCCGACCUGCACGAAUGGCGUAAUGAUGGCCAGGCUGUCUCCACCCGAGACUCAGUGAAAUUGAACUCGCUGUGAAGAUGCAGUGUACCCGCGGCAAGACGGAAAGACCCCGUGAACCUUUACUAUAGCUUGACACUGAACAUUGAGCCUUGAUGUGUAGGAUAGGUGGGAGGCUUUGAAGUGUGGACGCCAGUCUGCAUGGAGCCGACCUUGAAAUACCACCCUUUAAUGUUUGAUGUUCUAACGUUGACCCGUAAUCCGGGUUGCGGACAGUGUCUGGUGGGUAGUUUGACUGGGGCGGUCUCCUCCUAAAGAGUAACGGAGGAGCACGAAGGUUGGCUAAUCCUGGUCGGACAUCAGGAGGUUAGUGCAAUGGCAUAAGCCAGCUUGACUGCGAGCGUGACGGCGCGAGCAGGUGCGAAAGCAGGUCAUAGUGAUCCGGUGGUUCUGAAUGGAAGGGCCAUCGCUCAACGGAUAAAAGGUACUCCGGGGAUAACAGGCUGAUACCGCCCAAGAGUUCAUAUCGACGGCGGUGUUUGGCACCUCGAUGUCGGCUCAUCACAUCCUGGGGCUGAAGUAGGUCCCAAGGGUAUGGCUGUUCGCCAUUUAAAGUGGUACGCGAGCUGGGUUUAGAACGUCGUGAGACAGUUCGGUCCCUAUCUGCCGUGGGCGCUGGAGAACUGAGGGGGGCUGCUCCUAGUACGAGAGGACCGGAGUGGACGCAUCACUGGUGUUCGGGUUGUCAUGCCAAUGGCACUGCCCGGUAGCUAAAUGCGGAAGAGAUAAGUGCUGAAAGCAUCUAAGCACGAAACUUGCCCCGAGAUGAGUUCUCCCUGACUCCUUGAGAGUCCUGAAGGAACGUUGAAGACGACGACGUUGAUAGGCCGGGUGUGUAAGCGCAGCGAUGCGUUGAGCUAACCGGUACUAAUGAACCGUGAGGCUUAACCUU